rnacentral:rRNA from 1 species
AGUGAACGCUGGCGGUAGGCCUAACACAUGCAAGUCGAACGGCAGCACAGUAAGAGCUUGCUCUUACGGGUGGCGAGUGGCGGACGGGUGAGGAAUACAUCGGAAUCUACUUUUUCGUGGGGGAUAACGUAGGGAAACUUACGCUAAUACCGCAUACGACCUACGGGUGAAAGCAGGGGAUCUUCGGACCUUGCGCGAUUGAAUUAGCCGAUGUCGGCGUAGCUAGUUGGCGGGGUAAAGGCCCACCACGGCGGCGCUCGGUAGCGGGUCUGAAAGAGUGAUCAGCCACAUGGGAAGAGAGACAGGGUCGAGACUCCGAGGGGGGGAAGCAGUGGGGAAUAUUGCACAAGGGAGGAAAGGCUGAUCCAGCAAUACCGGGGGGGUCAAGAAGGCGUUCGGGUUGGAAAGCCCUUUUGUUGGGAAGGAAAAGCAGCAGUUUAAUCCCCCGCGGUAAUGACGGUACCGAAAGAAUAAGCACCGGCUAACUUCGUG